CCUACGGGCGGCAGCAGUGAGGAAUAUUGGUCAAUGGACGAGAGUCUGAACCAGCCCAGUAGCGUGAAGGAUGACUGCCCUAUGGGUUGUAAACUUCUUUUAUAUGGGAAUAAAAUGUUCCACGUGUGGGAUUUUGUAUGUACCAUAUGAAUAAGGAUCGGCUAACUCCGUGCCAGCAGCCGCGGUAAUACGGAGGAUCCGAGCGUUAUCCGGAUUUAUUGGGUUUAAAGGGAGCGUAGGUGGAUUGUUAAGUCAGUUGUGAAAGUUUGCGGCUCAACCGUAAAAUUGCAGUUGAAACUGGCAGUCUUGAGUACAGUAGAGGUGGGCGGAAUUCGUGGUGUAGCGGUGAAAUGCUUAGAUAUCACGAAGAACUCCGAUUGCGAAGGCAGUUCACUGGACUGCAACUGACACUGAGGCUCGAAAGUGUGGGUAUCAAACAGGAUUAGAUACCCCAGUAGUC
rnacentral:rRNA from 1 species